CAGUCGUACCUGCGGAUAAUCAGCUUUUUGAGUGUGAUUAUGUGGUUUAUGAGGAGUUUAACCGCCUUCAUGUAUUGCAUAUUUGUGCUCUUGGGUGUACUUGCUCGUAUGGUUGGUUAACAUCAAUUUUGGUGGUCAUAAAAUGACUGGAGGAAUGUAGCUUCGAUCGUUUCCC
rnacentral:rRNA from 1 species